rnacentral:lncRNA from 1 species
AAAAAAUGAUGGAAGCAAUGGAGGAGCAGCCUCUCGUCCUUUUGGUUUGAAGUCCAACCAAAUAAACGUGAAACAAACUAAAACAAUGCCGCAUGUUCAUUUAAGUGCAGCCAGCCGAAUUAAGAAGAAAAAAGAAAGGAAAAAAAGGAAAAAAAAAAGACCUCCCGUCCCUUUAGUUCGAAGUCCAUUUAAAUAAACUUGAAACAAACUAAAACGAUGCCGCAU